UUUUUCCAAUGUGUGCUCUGCUGGUGUUAAGUCUGAAUGAAGGGAGAGACUGGGAGUCAUUUCCUAACAUUGCUAUGGUUUGAAUGUGUCCCCUAAAUUUCACGUCUUGGAAACUUAAUCCCCAAAUUCAAAUGUUGAUUGGAAGUGGAACCUUUAGGAAGUAAUUAGGAUUAGAUAAGGUCAUCAGUGUGGGCCCCCACCCCCAUGAUGGGACUGGUGGCUUUUUAAGAAGAGGAAGAUAAGAAGGGAAAGAAAGACCUGAGCUGACAUGCACAUGCUUGACCACUUGUCAUGUGAUGCCCUUUGCCAUGUUGUGACACAGAAAGGAGGCCCUCACCAGAUGCCAGUGCCGUGUUCUUGGACUUCUCAGCCUCCAUAUUCAUGAACUAAGUUUUUGGAAUCCUUACGUUUCCACAUGUGGAAAGCCUGAGCUAACCUACUGGAGGAUGAGCCAUCACCUGGAGCAGACUCAGGCCAUCCUAGUUGAAGCCUCCCCAAGCCAAGCAACCUUCCAACUACCAGACAUUGACCAUUCAGCCUUGAACAUUCAGCACAAAGACAAAACAGACCAGACCAGAAGAGUCCCACAGAAUAGGGGAAACUAUUCAGAGAAAACUUAAGCCACUAAGUUUUAUGGUGUUUUGUUCUGUAGCAGAAGCAUACUGACAAUACAAACCGAAA
rnacentral:lncRNA from 1 species